GCAAUUUUUCAAAAGAUUUUGUUUACCAGGUCGCUAAAGUUCGUCUUCUCUGCCGCCAAUUAAGCUGCUCAUAAUCACUCUGCCGCUAACGGAAUUUGGAUACUUUCCAUUAUUCAUUAAAUACAGAUGGCACAACAAGACCAACGGAAAGUUGCUUAUGCCAUUGGGAGGAUGAACAAAAAUAUUGAAUCAAAUGCAACAAAGUUAAAUGAUGGAAACAAUAGUGGACAUGAACAAGAAA